rnacentral:rRNA from 1 species
ACGACUCUCGGCAACGGAUAUCUCGGCUCUCGCAUCGAUGAAGAACGUAGCGAAAUGCGAUACUUGGUGUGAAUUGCAGAAUCCCGUGAACCAUCGAGUCUUUGAACGCAAGUUGCGCCCGAUGCCAUCAGGUUGAGGGCACGUCUGCCUGGGCGUCAC